AGCAGCCGCGGUAAUUCCAGCUCCAAUAGCGUAUAUUAAAGUUGUUGCAGUUAAAAAGCUCGUAGUUGAAUUUCGGGGUUAGUAGAUUGGUCGUGCCAUCGGUAUGCACUGGUCUUACUGAUUCCUCCUUCCCGAUGAACCGUAAUGCCAUUAAUUUGGUGUUGCGGGGAAACUGGACUGUUACUUUGAAAAAAUUAGAGUGUUUAAAGCAAGCUAACGCUUGAAUACAUUAGCAUGGAAUAAUGAAAUAGGACGUUCGAUCCUAUUUUGUUGGUUUCUAGGAUUGACGUAAUGAUUAAUAGGGAUAGUUGGGGGCAUUAGUAUUCAAUUGUCAGAGGUGAAAUUCUUGGAUUUAUUGAAGACUAACUACUGCGAAAGCAUUUGCCAAGGAUGUUUUCAUUAAUCAAGAACGAAAGUUAGGGGAUCGAAGACGAUCAGAUACCGUCGUAG
rnacentral:rRNA from 1 species